rnacentral:tRNA from 1 species
AAGAAAUUAGUUAAUUAAUAAUACUAACUUGUCAUGUUAGAGUAAUCUUCAAGAUAUUUCUUA